AUUAGAUUAGGAGUCAGAUCAGAACAGCUACAAAUAACGCAAAGGCGGUGCUGUAGGAUGGGAUCAGAUGGGAGGUAAUGCACAAUAUGAGUAAACUGAAGGAGCGAUUUCAUGGAAAAAAAAAUAGGCAUAAUAAAAUUAGGCGACCUGUAACAUUAUUUUCCAUAGUGCCAUCUCUGAACAGUGUUUCGUACACUGAGUUUCAUUUUGCUGUGUUUACAACCGCGCAAUUAGAAAUUCAGGCAGUGACUGGUUUAAAUCACAAUUACAGAGACAGCUACACAAGUGAGUCACAUUAAGUUAAAUACCAAUUAGCAGUAUGUGCCAGUUUUAAUAGAGCUCUGGCAAUUAGCAUUAUUAUGUGUGUUUCCAAGGCACAAAAAGACAACUUACAGAAGUCACUGCCAAUCUCCGCUUAAUUGGUUCCAAACUUCUGCACCAUAGCAAGAAGCAGCAGCUCAGCGAUCAUGAAAAAUGCUUUUAGGAAGACUUUUGGGCACGACGAAGGUGGACUCUCGCCAGAGUGGCUAACUAGUAGCUACAAAAAAAAAAAAAAAAAAAAAAAAGACUGUGGACUUAACAUUCUUACUGUUGUUUUUACUGUUCACUCUCAGUGCAUGAGGCUCCUCCUGGGCAGUCUGUAACUAUCACCAAAGCAUCCAAGAUGUGCAAUCUGUGCAAACUCUGACCCUUGUUUGGCCAUUUCUGUUCUCACAACUGUCUUUCCAACACUGUCAGCAUCACAUUGACUCAUAUCAGAAAUGCUAACAGCCUAUUGGUAAAACCUCAGAAAUGUCAGAGACACACACACAGUCUUCAGUAAAAAACUUUGGGGAAACUCAGUCCCUCCAUUUCAGCUUCUAGUUUCCAGUAACUGUUGACCAGUCUUGUACUGGGCUUCAAAUCUGGAACGAUGUUGACCCUUUGCUCUUUCAAAGCUUCUGUUUUGCAUUUACAGUAAUGUGCAGACUGCUAACUCAAUGGAUGAACCAUUAUUGUGUCAGCACAUAACAGACAAUUUAGCAAACAACCAGUUUUAAACCGUAUCUUCAGGCACUUUGUUACUAGCAGGAAGUCUCUUUUAGGUUUUACUUUGAGGAAACAAAAACUUAGAGAAGAAAAAAAGAUAGUGGCCUAAAAAUAGGCAGAAAAAUCCACAGCAGAUGAUCAAAAUCUAAAAGUCAUUCAAAAACCUGAAAAAUCCAGAAUAGACUGAAC
ensembl:lncRNA